UACGGAGGAUGCGAGCGUUAUCCGGAUUUAUUGGGUUUAAAGGGUGCGUAGGCGGGAUACCAAGUCAGCGGUAAAAAUGCGGUGCUCAACGCCGUCGAGCCGUUGAAACUGGCGUUCUUGAGUGGGCGAGAAGUAUGCGGAAUGCGUGGUGUAGCGGUGAAAUGCAUAGAUAUCACGCAGAACUCCGAUUGCGAAGGCAGCAUACCGGCGCCCAACUGACGCUGAAGCACGAAGGCGUGGGUAUCGAACAGG
rnacentral:rRNA from 1 species